rnacentral:rRNA from 1 species
GAUGAACGCUGGCGGCGUGCCUAAUACAUGCAAGUCGAGCGAACAGAUGAGGAGCUUGCUCCUCUGACGUUAGCGGCGGACGGGUGAGUAACACGUGGAUAACCUACCUAUAAGACUGGGAUAACUUCGGGAAACCGGAGCUAAUACCGGAUAAUAUAUUGAACCGCAUGGUUCAAUAGUGAAAGACGGUUUUGCUGUCACUUAUAGAUGGAUCCGCGCCGCAUUAGCUCGUUGGUAAGGUAACGGCUUACCAAGGCAACGAUGCGUAGCCGACCUGAGAGGGGGAUCGCCCACACUGGAACUGAGACACGGUCCAGACUCCUACGGGAGGCAGCAGUAGGGAAUCUUCCGCAAUGGGCGAAAGACUGACGGAGCAACGCCGCGUGAGUGAUGAAGGUCUUCGGAUCGUAAAACUCGGUUAUUAGGGAAAAACAAAUGUGUAAGUAACUAUGCACGUAUUGACGGUACCUAAUCAGAAAGCCACGGCUAACUACGUG